rnacentral:rRNA from 1 species
CCUACGGGUGGCUGCAGUGGGGAAUAUUGGUCAAUGGGCGGAAGCCUGAACCAGCCAUGCCGCGUGCAGGAUGACGGCCCUAUGGGUUGUAAACUGCUUUUAUAUGGGGCGAAAAAAGUCUAUUUAUAGAUUCUUGACGGUACCAUAAGAAUAAGGAUCGGCUAACUACGUGCCAGCAGCCGCGGUAAUACGUAGGAUCCGAGCGUUGUCCGGAUUUAUUGGGUUUAAAGGGUGCGUAGGCGGAAAGAUAAGUCAGUGGUGAAAGCCGGUCGCUCAACGAUCGAAUUGCCAUUGAUACUGUUUUUCUAGAAUACGGUUGAGGUAGGCGGAAUGUGUGGUGUAGCGGUGAAAUGCAUAGAUAUCACACAGAACUCCGAUUGCGAAGGCAGCUUACUAAGCCGUUAUUGACGCUGAGGCACGAAAGCGUGGGGAUCAAACAGGAUUAGAUACCCUUGUAGUCC